GCCAGCUUGGUGUAGUGGUUUGAGUGUUGGACUAGGACUCUGGAGACUGGGGUUCAAAUCCCUGCUUGGACA